CUUGCUCAGGAGUUAAAGCAAGAGAUGUUUUGUCGCUGCUUCUUUAGAGAAUAACUAAAGUUAGUAGAUCAAACAUGGAGUAUGGCUGCUCUGUCAAGGAAGAAUUGGGAAUUACUAUGCAAAGGGAUCAGUAUAACCUACCAGAUUUUGAAAAUGAGUUUGCAAACGCAAAGUUAUGUGUUAUCAAAUCUUACAAUUGAAGAUGACAAUCAUAAGGGCAUUAAAUAUGAUGUAUGGGCAA
rnacentral:misc_RNA from 1 species